UAGGACCUCCAGUUGUAGGACCUGGAGGUAAAUGGUUGAGCAGGCGGUUGGGUUGUAGGACCUGGAGGUAAAGGGUGAAGCCAGAGCCAGUGGAGUUAGAAGGUGAAGAGGCUUGAGCUCAGUGGGCUAACACAGUCGUCUUCUCUCCCUGUGUGUUUAGUGACGUGGUGGAGCAGCAGGCUGGAGGCCUAUCAGACCUGGAGAUCAUAUCCCAGCCAGACCCAGUGGAGGAGGCAUGGUGUGCAGGAGAUGAACCCUUCCUGCAUGGCUCCUGUCCAGCUGGUCAGCUUUGGCUACAGGGACCUUCCUCUGGCCCACCUGGACCUCUCCCUGGCCGGAUCACAGCUCCUCUCUAACC
ensembl:lncRNA